UACAGAGGUCUCAAGCGUUGUUCGGAUUCAUUGGGCGUAAAGGGUGCGUAGGUGGCGCUGUAAGUCAGGUGUGAAAUUUCGGAGCUCAACUCCGAAACUGCAUUUGAUACUGCGGUGCUUGAGGACUGGAGAGGAGACUGGAAUUCACGGUGUAGCAGUGAAAUGCGUAGAGAUCGUGAGGAAGACCAGUGGCGAAGGCGGGUCUCUGGACAGUUCCUGACACUGAGGCACGAAGGCCCAGGGGGAGCAAAACGGG
rnacentral:rRNA from 1 species